rnacentral:rRNA from 1 species
AGUGAACGCUGGCGGUAGGCCUAACACAUGCAAGUCGAACGGCAGCACAGUAAGAGCUUGCUCUUACGGGUGGCGAGUGGCGGACGGGUGAGGAAUACAUCGGAAUCUACUUUUUCGUGGGGGAUAACGUAGGGAAACUUACGCUAAUACCGCAUACGACCUACGGGUGAAAGCAGGGGAUCUUCGGACCUUGCGCGAUUGAAUGAGCCGAUGUCGGAUUAGCUAGUUGGCGGGGUAAAGGCCCACCAAGGCGACGAUCCGUAGCUGGUCUGAGAGGAUGAUCGGCCACACUGGAACUGAAACACGGUCCAGACUCCUACGGGAGGCAGCAGUGGGGAAUAUUGGACAAUGGGCGCAAGCCUUAUCCAGCCAUACCGCGUGGGUGAAGAAGGCCUUCGGGUUGUAAAGCCCUUUUGUUGGGAAAGAAAAGCAGCAGGUUAAUACCCCGCUGUUCUGACGGUACCCAAAGAAUAAGCACCGGCUAACUUCGUG